rnacentral:rRNA from 1 species
CGAAGGUAGCAUAGUCAGUAGUCUUUUAAUUGGAGGCUUGUAUGAAUGGUUGGACGAGGGACAAGCUGUCUCUUUUACGGGAUUUGAAUUUAACUUUUGAGUGAAAAGGCUCAAAUUAUUUAGUGGGACGAUAAGACCCUAUAAAACUUUAUACAGGUUGGGUUCAAUUUGUGAUUUGUGUGAAAAGUAGUUUUAUUUGGUCUGUAUUUUGUUGGGGCGACAUAGAUAUAACAUGUAACUGUCUAUCAAAUUAAAUAGUGUUAAUUAGUUUUUGAUCCUUCUUUGUGGAUUAGAAGAAUAAGUUACUUUAGGGAUAACAGCGUGAUUUUCCUUGAGAGUUCCUAUCGACAGGAGUAGUUGCGACCUCGAUGUU